rnacentral:lncRNA from 1 species
CAAAGGGAGCUGCGGGGACACGGGGAGCGCAGGGGGGCGGCCGGGCUCGGUGACACUCACGGCGCGGCCCUCCGGAGCGGUGAAGUCGAGCAGCUCCAACUCGGCGUCGCUCUCCAGGGGCCGCUCCAGGUCCCGCAGCUCCCCGUUCACCCGCGCCACCACCGCCGAGCGGAGCCCCAACUGCUCGGCCACGUGGCGCGGGGUGCUGCGCAGCGCCAGGCCGGGAAGGACGCGGCCCCCGGGCAGCGCGAUGCGGAUGGGGGUCCCCUCCGCGGGGCCGCUUCCAUGGCCGCCCCCGUCCCGCUGCUCGCGGUCCGCUUUCAGCCGCUCGAAGAGCCGCAGCCGUUCGGCGAAGUGGGGCCGGUACCCCCGCUGGGGGACCC